ACUCCUACGGGAGGCAGCAGUAGGGAAUUUUCGGCAAUGGGCGAAAGCCUGACCGAGCAAUGCCGCGUGAAUGAAGAAAUUCUUCGGAAUGUAAAAUUCUGUGGUGAGGGAAGAAAAGUAUUAGAAGGAAAUGGCUAAUAUUUGACGGUACCUUACUAGAAAGCCCCGGCUAACUAUGUGCCAGCAGCCGCGGUAAUACAUAGGGGGCAAGCGUUAUCCGGAAUUAUUGGGCGUAAAGCGUGCGUAGGCGGCCACUUAAGUCUGUCGUGAAAGCCCACAGCUUAACUGUGGAGGGUCGAUGGAAACUGGGAGGCUUGAAUCUAGGAGAGGUAAGUGGAAUUCCAUGUGUAGCGGUAAAAUGCUUAGAUAUAUGGAGGAACACCAGUGGCGAAGGCGGCUUACUGGUCUAGAAUUGACGCUGAUGCACGAAAGCGUGGGUAGCAAACAGGAUUAGAUACCCUGGUAGUCCACGCCGUAAACGAUGAGCACUAAGUGUCGGACGUAAGUUCGGUGCUGAAGUUAACGCAUUAAGUGCUCCGCCUGGGGAGUACGGUCGCAAGACUGAAACUCAAAGGAAUUGACGGGGACUCGCACAAGCGGUGGAGCAUGUGGUUUAAUUCGACGCAACGCGAAAAACCUUACCAGGCCUUGACAUACCGAUGACGUCUUUAGAGAUAGAGAGUUACCUUCGGGUACAUUGGAUACAGGUGGUGCAUGGUUGUCGUCAGCUCGUGUCGUGAGAUGUUGGGUUAAGUCCCGCAACGAGCGCAACCCUUAUCAUUAGUUGCUAACAGUUAGAUGAGCACUCUAAUGAGACUGCCAGCGAAAAGUUGGAGGAAGGUGGGGAUGACGUCAAAUCAUCAUGCCCCUUAUGGCCUGGGCUACACACGUGCUACAAUGGCUGGUACAAAGAGGAGCGAAGCUGUGAAGUGGAGCAAAUCUCAAAAAGCCAGUCUCAGUUCGGAUUGUAGUCUGCAACUCGACUACAUGAAGUUGGAAUCGCUAGUAAUCGUAAAUCAGCAUGUUACGGUGAAUACGUUCUCGAGUCUUGUACACACCGCCCGUCACACCAUGAGAGUUUGUAAUACCCGAAGCCGGUGGCUUAACCGCAAGGAGAGAGCCGUCUAAGGUAGGACAGAUGAUUGGGGUGAAGUCGUAACAAGGUAUCCCUACGAGAACGUGGGGAUG
rnacentral:rRNA from 1 species